GCACAGCGCGAGAGCAGAGACGCGAGCGGCCGAGUUACCUAAUGGUUGAAUCUGGCGACCAGGCGCCAGGGCUCCUGGGUCCCAUUCGUACACCUCUUGUUUUCUUGCUGCCUGAUCUUUGCCAAAUCAAUUCUUUAUGCCUCCGUUUCACCGACCGUAGAUCUGCCCAUCUGUUGAGGACAGUGCAAGGGCUACGGGGAGAGAUUCAGCUUGGAGAUCACAUCUGCGCAUGUUUUCAGGACGCCUGCGCUGUCGUAUUUUCAGGUUGUUUUCUUCGUGUGCUUUACAGCACUUUGUGUGCGCUCACCUGUGCUUCUGCUUUCCUGGUAAUCAGUUUGCCCAGUUCGGGGGAGGAAUGUGAGCGUAAAACCCCAGGCCCAGUUGAGAGCAAGGGACAGGUAUCAGGACUCAAAUGGCUUUGGUCUCAUGUUUUUUUUAAUGGACUGGCCGUGUCGUCUUAGCACCGCGGUGCUGCUCUACACGUGUGAUUUCUUUCCCUGGCCUUUCCCAGCGCCCUGGUGCAAGGGGCUGUACAAAUUCAGAGCAAAGACAGCAGUUCAGAGAGUGCUUUGUGAAGAAAGACACUGGAGAAAGUUAGGGUGACUUGGUUGUCCGGGUGGCUCAGAUAAAGUAUUGCCCUGUCAUUUUUGCACAUGACGGAUCUGAUCCUGCAUUUCUAACACCCCGAGCUCCAUCUGACAACGCCGAGUUGGAGAUGUACCAGGUGGACGAGAUUGGCAACAACUCUGUGCUGAUUCCCCCUGUGUAAUCCCUGGCUUUGUGAGGCAUCAAGCUUUUUAUUUUCAAUUUUUUUUAGCUGUAAAAUGCAAGCUUCUCCACGGCCUCUGCUGUCCGUGGGGUUAAAACGUCCUGUGCCUUGAAACUGGGAAUAGCUAGGAAUUGGAGCACGGCCCCUUUAAAAGCCCAUUACAUCGCGUUAGAAUAUAGUCUUUGUUUAACUAGUGAUGAUUGUUCCCAGUGGACCGGACUGGAACGGUUUGCUGAGACCAGAGGGGUCUAAGGCUUGGGGCCAACAGUCAGCUUGCAGAUCAGAGCUGUUCAGACCAUACAAGGAGGAAAAAGAGAGGCGCAGCAUGAUCUCUGCACUUCCUGCCAUGGGUUUUGGAGUUUACAUUAAAUACUGCUUCCUGGUCCUGGAAAGUGCGGGAGGGAAGAUUGCGCGAUGAAAUGUUUUUGCCCCUUCCACUUGUACCACAAACGAGGGCAACUCAAAUUACUGCUAGUCGGGUCCGAUGCUAUUGCAUUUCUUACUGAAUUUGACUGAGUAGCCAUUCUCACUCUUCUUUUCCUGGGCUGAGCUGUUUGCAUUAAGUAUUUCCAGACCCACAGAUAAAACCUAGGUGAAGGCGAAGGAAGCGAUUUGGACAGAUGUUGGCAGGCUGGCUUCUGGGAACAAGGUUUCCCAAGCUCUGAACACAGUCGGCUUCCAGAUCCCAGCCUUGUCUGGCACAGCUGUCAGAAACCAGGUCACGUGGCUAUCUGAAUCGGUGCGCGGGGAAUAUCCUGUCCUGGGAAUCUGAAGCUGCACAUGCUCAGCAAUCGUGGCCUGUCACCGUAUUAAACCAGCUGCGUAAGUCACCUCUGUCCCACCCCUGUCGGCACCUCACCCAUCCAGGCAGCAGCCAGAAGCCUCAGGAAAUGAGUAACGGGUGAAGUCACGGCGUUGUUUGCCGAGGUUUCACAUUUAGAGUUGAACGUCCUGGCAAAGGGCAGCUGAGCUGCCGCAGAUCGGAGAGCAGGAGAACGUGCUCUGUGCCCCGCUCGGUAGCGGGUUGCGGGAUAGGAAGGAGGGGAACAGCACGACAAGCGAAGACUAAUAGAAGUAAUUAUUGCAAGGGGAUUUUCCGAGCAUUGGGAAUCCGACUCGGGUCCAUCUACACGCGGAGCGUAGGGGACGUCGGGGACAUCACUGAAAUGCCGACGGUCCAGCAGAAGCUGCGGAUCACUGUGUGUCCCCCCCUGCACCUGCAGCCCUGCACCUCCCAAACCUCCUCCUCUUGACUUGUACCAGCAUGAGACCAACCAGCCUCUUUGCUGGUCCACACCUGGCACAAGCCUCUUGCUUUUAAUUUGAGGAGUGUGCCUGCUGCUGGCCACCUCCUCGUACAAGCACGGUACCCACUCCUGCUCCAGUUCUGAUUUCAGAUGCUGAAAUAAAUGCCUCCCUGCUUGCCACAGUACACCUGGGAUUAAACUGCCCUCGAAAGUCCAACCAGGCAACCCGCGUGUGCUGUGCUCAGUCCCUGCAGCGGUACCGAAAUGCGCGCCGCACUGAAGGAGCCUUCCUGCAUGAAGAAGGCCUCGCUGCUUCACUGCUAAAAGGCACAAAUGAGUGUUUGUUGCUCCUGAGGAAGUGGAAGAUGAAGGCUGAGCUGGAGGGCAAUGAGGGCAGAGCAAGGGAGGGGGAUUUGGACUCUGUUCUGCUUAUGGUGGGUAAAAAUGUUCCAUUCUUUUGAUCCUCCUUAGUCUCGUCUUUGUGAUCCGAGCUGUGCUUUUUCCUGGAAGGUUUCCCAUGUUCCUGAUGGAGCCAAAAAGCUGCCACAUUUUCCUUGUCUCAGCCGCAUCCUUGCAAUUAGGGAGCAUGCUGUGAUGACGCGUUGCGUGCAAAUGUAGGGCUGGCGAUAGGUGUUUGCUGCUGCUAGAGACUGCUGGCCUCUCUUCAUCGCCGGCGCGGGUAUGGUGCAGGCAACAGCAGUGCACGCUCUCCGUAUGGCCCUGUCAAUGCCAUUCAGUCCCGACCUAAAAGAAACCUCAUUAGAGGGCACAAGAGAGUUCAGGACCCGUGGCUGGUUCAUCCCCCUUGGAUGCGUGGAGUCAGAUUUUUGAGACAAUAAUAGCACUUUUCCUUGGAAACUGGCACUAACAGCUAGUUUCACAUGGGUUCCCACACAGCCCUGUAAUGGUCCCACUGCUCGGUCAUGACUUCCCCAGUCUGCAUUGUUGGAUUUACUGGCAGUCAUUAACUCCGCACAAUGCAUUUUUCCUAUUAAUGCGAGUGUUACCGGCCUGAAAGCAAAGCCAAGCUGUACAUGUGCCUCCUGCCUGUUAGCUAGCGAGCAUGUCCCAGUGGAGCUCGACUGCAUUUGCAAAGACGAGGUCCAUCCUCCGGUAGCGUCACCUUACUGGGCGGGUGCGCGGGUGCAACGUGUAGACAUCGUGGUAGCAGAAUGGAGGGGGCUCACAGCGCGGACCUGGAGUGGCGUGGCCGCGGAGGCAGUGCUGGCAGUGGGCCCGUGGGGAUGAUGCAUCAGGGCUGAAACUCAUACAUUCAGCACCAUUACAGAAAGUCGUUCAGGCUUGGGUGACCCAGCCCUCGCACACCUGCUGGAGACCAGGCUUUCCCACCAUCGUCUUAGCAAUCAGAAAUAAAAAGUGUAAAGUGAUUUUUGCCAUGAAGCUGCAAUGUGCACAAGCAGGGACCGGACGACUCCAGGAAACCCCCUGUUGGCCUUGCUGCGCCGACGUGGUUUACCGGGAAGGGCUCGUAGAGCAGUGCUGAUAGCUCCAGAGAGCCACGAAGUAGCUAAUGAUGUUGUUUCCUGAAGGACAGCAGAAAAAGUUGGCUGCAACCUGCUCCCACAGAGGUGCCUGAGAGCUUAAGAAAAAAGGGCUUCUUUCUCGAAUGGUGAACACGCAGCUCGCUUUCCUACAGGCAGUGAAAGCCUGGCACUAGAUAAGUAGCUGUGAGAUGAUUCAUAAAAAACUAAUUUAUAAUUUGCCAGAAUAUAAUCCUGUUUGAUCAGUGUUA